rnacentral:tRNA from 98 species
GCCAAGUGGAUCAAGGCAGU